rnacentral:rRNA from 1 species
UACAGAGGGGGCAAGCGUUGUUCGGAAUUACUGGGCGUAAAGGGCGCGUAGGCGGCCUGUUAAGUCGGACGUGAAAUCCCUCGGCUCAACCGGGGAACUGCGUCCGAUACUGGCGGGCUUGAAUUCGGGAGAGGGAUGUGGAAUUCCAGGUGUAGCGGUGAAAUGCGUAGAUAUCAGGAGGAACACCGGUGGCGAAGGCGGAUCUCUGGGCCAUUACUGACGCUGAGGAGCGAAAGCGUGGGGAGCGAACAGG